CCUACGGGGAGCAGCAGUGAGGAAUAUUGGUCAAUGGACGAGAGUCUGAACCAGCCAAGUAGCGUGAAGGAUGACUGCCCUAUGGGUUGUAAACUUCUUUUAUAAAGGAAUAAAACGAGGCACGUGUGCCUUUUUGCAUGUACUUUAUGAAUAAGGAUCGGCUAACUCCGUGCCAGCAGCCGCGGUAAUACGGAGGAUCCGAGCGUUAUCCGGAUUUAUUGGGUUUAAAGGGAGCGUAGAUGGGUUGUUAAGUCAGUUGUGAAAGUUUGCGGCUCAACAGUAAAAUUGCAAUUGAUACUGGCAGUCGUGAGGACAGUUGAGGUAGGCGGAAUUCGUGGUGUGGCGGUGAAAUGCUUAGAUAUCACGAAGAACCCCGAUUGCGAAGGCAGCUUACUAAACUGUGACUGACAUUGAUGCUCGAAAGUGUGGGUAUCAAACAGGAUUAGAUACCCCUGUAGUC
rnacentral:rRNA from 1 species